AUACCACGGGGCUGGCUGAAAAUGGGAGAAGUUGCUCUUAUCUAUCAUGGCUGCACUUUCCGAAAUGCAUAGACCUGGCCUGGUAGGGUCGAAGGGAGCAAGGGUGGAAGGGGGGUGUUCCAUCUGCAGGCACAUGGGAAUAAUUCAAGGAAUAUCUCGAGGCUUUUAACUACAGCAUAAAUACAUAAGGAAAAAAAAAAAAAGCCAGACAGUUUCGGAGCCAGCAUCAACUUCGCCAGGCUGUGUUCUUUGUUUCUAGGCAGACUCCAGUGCGGUGGCAAGAACGAACAAAUGCGCAUGUCUUCAUAAGAGUCCAAAAAAAAAAACGAAGAAGAAAAAUGCCCCCUCCCCUGUGACCGCGGUAGCGUUAGGGGAGUCCUGCACACACUUCGUGCCGCUUUUUCCACAAGUCAAGUCGGCUUCCACCCUGUCCUGGGCAGGCGUUUCGCUACUCUACGGGGCGUUCGCGGAAAAAUUGCGUACGCCGGGACAGUCAUCAGGGAAAAAAAGCGCGACGUGAAGCAGCUGAGAGAGUAAAUCAUAAAGCCGUCGUACAUGUUCUGCAUACUGCAAACGGGGAGCUAAUUUCCUGGCAGCCGUCUUCAGGAUGCUUCAAGUCAGUCUGCUCCAAUGUGGCCCUUAAAAACCUCACAGCGUCCAGCUGCAAGAAACCCCACUCAUUUCUGACUUUAGCAUCUAAUUCCCACAAAUACAGAUAUUUUAAUUAUGCAUUUUGUCAAGGUGAGCUGAAAACAACCAGCAGCUACCAGAUCACCGAAGAAAACAAAGUCAGUCAUAUAUUUAUUCUAAAAAAAUCAGCUUUUUAUGGAGUUCGGUGAUGUUUGCUAUGUUUUGUCAAGCAUGAGCUCAACCAGAAGCAGAAAGAAGCAGCCGAGGGUUGUUUAUGGCACACAGAGCGGCCCUUCCUGACAGCAGCACUAAUGGAAAUGACUAUAAUAAAACCACCAGUGUUUGUGGUCUAAGCAGCAAAGCGGGAGCCCUGAUUUCUGCCCCCUGUUCUGACAACCACUUCCCAGUGACGAGGAGCAGAUCACUUCUCCCCUCUUCCUAGUUACAGCCACUGUUUUGUAGUUGAGAUCAAUUAGUUAAUGUUUGAAAAGUCAGUUGAAGAUGAAAAAGCAUUUACAUACUGCUAAUAAAACCAUAAUGAUCCCACUGUUAAACAUUAAACAUACAAUGACGUGUAAAAAAAAAAAAAAAAAUCACUUUAAUGGAAAAUUCCUCUUGCUGCAAAGUCAAAGGAUUAGCUCCUAAAAAAAGGAAGGACAAGCUCAAGAUUGCAUCAUAGCAUCCAGCUGUGUCUCAGGGGUCUGGCUUCUGUUUAGGUCUCUGCCACUGAUUAUUUGUGUGGCCAUGGACACAUCACUUGGGCAGUUGCUGAAGAGGUUGGUGGGCCGACCCACCUGAAAGUGGCAAGUUAAUCCAGAGCUAGCCAAAAAUCAUCAGACGUGUCUGGAAAAUGCUGGCCUUCAUAAUUUUGUGUGGCUGCUUCCCCAUCUGCUAAACACGAUGAGGAUUGCAGCUGCGUAGCCUGAUUUUUCAGGGCAAGAUAACCCAGCAGCAAGCAAACCCUGACACCGGGGUCCUUAAAAUCCAGGAGAGCUGUGCUGCUCGCAAGACACUUGUAUCACACUGCGGUGUGUGGAAUAAAAGCAGAUGUGUGGAACUUUCUAGAGAUUUUUCUUGGCGAUGAGUCUCUCUUUAGAUGUAAAACCGGUAGCUGUGCCACUGGUAGGGCUCUGGGUCGCCGUAUGUAGAGCAAUGCAUGUCUGAUGCUCUGACCUACAGGCAAGAAAGAGGAGAGGAACCAGGAAAACCACAUUUGUACCUUUGGGCCUGCACAGCGCCAUAUUCAUGGUGAUGAGCCACCGGUGUUUCUGGCAGGGCAGAAGCCGUGAGUGGGAUUUGCACAAUAGGAGCUCCAGGCAGUUCAGGGUUUGGCACAGUGAUCUCAGAGAGGAGAACUCCUCUCCAAAAAGAGCAGCCCUUUGACAAGGUAACCCUCGUUUCCUCAGUCCAACUGCCCUUCACAAGGAGCAUCCCAGAGCUGCAACAGCCUUUUCCAUCUUCCUCCUGAAAUCUGACGCUACCCUGCUUUGAUGGUGAUCAGUUGUUGACUGCAGAAAAGCUGAAUCAUGAAACAGAGGUUAUAAACAAGGUUAUUUUUAAUGAAGGAAAGAAAUUCCACAUCAUGCAGAAGUCAGAGCAAGGAACUGGCAGAUAGGGCUCGCAGGUCUCACCCCUGCCCUGAUAGUCUCCAUGUCCUGAAACAAAUUACGAUGUCUCUAACCUUUAAUUUACCUGCUUGUAACACAGACAAAGCAGCAGACUCCAGUUGUGCUUUCUUUGUACAAGCAAAGCUCCUGGUGUGACAGUAAAGCGGUGCUGGGAGCUGCGCAAUGCCUGGGGCUGGCUUUCACUGUCGCCCAGCACCUUGCAGAGCUAUUUUCAGCCAUGCAAAAUGAUCAUGCACAGUAUUUCAGCAAUGUUCAUAGACGUUUUGAAGGCAGAGAGAGACUACCCAGUCUGAUUCCACGAUCCCAUAUUUCACAGUCUUACAUUUCAAUUCCCACAUGCUGGAAUUCCCACAUGCCUGGUUACUUCUGCUUCAUUUUGCACACUGAAAACUCAGACAAAUUUUGUAGCCCAGAGUCUCCUAUUACAUCCUUCAGGCACCGGCGUGCUGCAGGGUGUGUGUUGUAGAUACCCAGCUCAGAGGGAGGGAAGACAAGUCUGGUACACCUACAGCUAACUAAUAAAUUUCCUGCUUAUGCCACUUCUUAUCUCUCACACUUAAAUUAUUUCCAGAAAAGCAUAUUUCAUUUUCCUUAGGAAAGACGCCUCAACUCAGGGAAGCAGGAGACUGAGGCUGGGACUGGCCAGGCUUCCAUGCACUGCCCGAGGAAUAUGAACAACCUCACGUACAGAUCCUUGCAAACCUGUCUUCUGUGCUCCAUGCUGAUUAACGAGCAUUUUGGGUGCAUCUCUAACUUUACAUAUAUAACUACUAAGGUUAAAGAACUCUAGCUUUUUUGAAAAUAUUUUAUAAGUGUAUGUAUUUUUUUAUUUUUAUAUAUAUAUAAACACACAUACAUAAACUUACAAAAACUUCAGGAGA